CAUUAAGAAGCUAAUCUAGCGUUAACCUUUUAAGUUAAAGAUUGAGAGCCAAAGCUCCCCUUAAU
rnacentral:tRNA from 1 species